rnacentral:rRNA from 1 species
UUCGGGUUGUCAUGCCAAUGGCACUGCCCGGUAGCUAAAUGCGGAAGAGAUAAGUGCUGAAAGCAUCUAAGCACGAAACUUGCCCCGAGAUGAGUUCUCCCUGAGACUUAAAGUCUCCUGAAGGAACGUUAAAGACGAUGACGUUGAUAGGUCGGGUGUGUAAGCGCAGCGAUGCGUUGAGCUAACCGAUACUAAUGAACCGUGAGGCUUAACCUU